rnacentral:rRNA from 1 species
UGGGGAAUAUUGCACAAUGGGCGCAAGCCUGAUGCAGCCAUGCCGCGUGUGUGAAGAAGGCCUUCGGGUUGUAAAGCACUUUCAGCGAGGAGGAAAGUGGUGAGCUUAAUACGCUCAUCAAUUGACGUUACUCGCAGAAGAAGCACCGGCUAACUCCGUGCCAGCAGCCGCGGUAAUACGGAGGGUGCAAGCGUUAAUCGGAAUUACUGGGCGUAAAGCGCACGCAGGCGGUUUGUUAAGUCAGAUGUGAAAUCCCCGGGCUCAACCUGGGAACUGCAUUUGAAACUGGCAAGCUAGAGUCUCGUAGAGGGGGGUAGAAUUCCAGGUGUAGCGGUGAAAUGCGUAGAGAUCUGGAGGAAUACCGGUGGCGAAGGCGGCCCCCUGGACGAAGACUGACGCUCAGGUGCGAAAGCGUGGGGCAGCAAACAGGAUUAGAUACCCUGGUAGUCCACGCUGUAAACGAUGUCGAUCUGGAGGUUGUGCCCUUGAGGCGUGGCUUCCGGAGCCUAANGCGUUAAAUCGACCGCCUGGGGAGUACGGCCGCAAGGUUAAAACUCAAAGGAAUUGACGGGGUCAUAGC